rnacentral:rRNA from 1 species
GACGAACGCUGGCGGCGUGCCUAAUACAUGCAAGUCGAGCGAAGUUUUUCUGGUGCUUGCACUAGAAAAACUUAGCGGCGAACGGGUGAGUAACACGUAAAGAACCUGCCUCAUAGACUGGGACAACUAUUGGAAACGAUAGCUAAUACCGGAUAACAGUAUUUCUCGCAUGAGAGAUAUUUAAAAGUUGGUUAUGCUAACACUAUGAGAUGGCUUUGCGGUGCAUUAGCUAGUUGGUGGGGUAAAGGCCCACCAAGGCGACGAUGCAUAGCCGACCUGAGAGGGUGAUCGGCCACACUGGGACUGAGACACGGCCCAGACUCCUACGGGAGGCAGCAGUAGGGAAUCUUCCGCAAUGGGCGAAAGCCUGACGGAGCAACGCCGCGUGAGUGAAGAAGGAUUUCGGUUCGUAAAGCUCUGUUGUUAGGGAAGAAUGGAUAUGUAGUAACUAUACAUGUAAGAGACGGUACCUAACCAGAAAGCCAGGGCUAACUACGUG